rnacentral:tRNA from 1 species
GGCCCAUUGGAGAAGUGGCUUAACUCAGUACCCUCUCAAGGUAUCAUUCAUGGGUUCGAAUCCCGUAUGGGUCA